rnacentral:lncRNA from 1 species
GCGAAUAUAAAAGCGGGACGAGUUCUAUGCAACUUGUUGUACGACGGAGGCGGAGCCGGGUCGAGUAGAGCAUGCCCCUACCCGACAGUGGCCACCCCUAUUCUCCUCUCCUCUCUCAAAAUUGAAAGAACAAACAAAAGAUGAAAAGAACCCUAGCGGCCGAGCCCCCCAGCCCCGUAGAACGCAGCCGCCGCACCCACCGCAGCACCCGCACCCACUGCAGCCCCCGCAGAACCCACAGCCACCGCAUCUCCUCUUCUCUGUUCGAGCCCCCUCUCUCUCUGUUCGCCGGUGUCGCGCCGUCUCCUCUAUCGUCGCCGUCACUCUCCUUCCUCUUCGUCGCCGGU